rnacentral:lncRNA from 1 species
UGCUCCCCAGCUGGGCCGGCUGCGGACGCGGGAAGGGAGGUGGUGGCGACUGACGGAACUGGGUGAAGCUUCUGCAGAUGGCCUCCCCUCUCUGCGACUGGUUCCUUAUCGAGGCAAUGGAGAUGUGGACUGCGGUGACUGAUCAAGCCUCACAUAUCUACUGAAUCAGGAAGCCCGAAGGCCUGAGGCCUCCCGAGUGGCCCCAUGGGAGCGUCGUGCAUUUUUCUGAGAUGGGGUCUUGCUCUGUUGCCUAGGCUGGAGUACAGUGGUGGGAUCGUUGCUCACCGCAGCCUUGAACUUAUGGGCUCAAGCCAAGCUCCCACGUAGCUAAGACAACAGGCAUGGGCCACCACGCCCGGCUCAAAUUACUCUAAGACGCUCAGGGACCCUACCUUACAAAGCAGUUGAUAUUCCAGUUUGAAUAAAUUUAAUUGAUUUUUUUUUGAGUAUUGUCUUUUCAUAAUUUAAUUUAU